rnacentral:rRNA from 1 species
AUUGAACGCUGGCGGCAUGCCUUACACAUGCAAGUCGAACGGUAACGCGGGGCAACCUGGCGACGAGUGGCGAACGGGUGAGUAAUGCAUCGGAACGUGCCUGGUAGUGGGGGAUAACUGUUCGAAAGAGCAGCUAAUACCGCAUACGACCUGAGGGUGAAAGGGGGGGAUCGCAAGACCUCUCGCUAUCAGAGCGGCCGAUGUCGGAUUAGCUAGUUGGUGGGGUAAAGGCCCACCAAGGCAACGAUCCGUAGCUGGUCUGAGAGGACGACCAGCCACACUGGGACUGAGACACGGCCCAGACUCCUACGGGAGGCAGCAGUGGGGAAUUUUGGACAAUGGGCGCAAGCCUGAUCCAGCCAUGCCGCGUGCGGGAAGAAGGCCUUCGGGUUGUAAACCGCUUUUGUCAGGGAAGAAAUCUUCUGGGUUAAUACCUCGGGAGGAUGACGGUACCUGAAGAAUAAGCACCGGCUAACUACGUG